GUUUGGUUACUCAUCUGGAAAUUUUAAUACUUUCUUCAGGGGCAGGGACUGGCAAUAAAAAAAUAGACCUAUAUAUCAAACCUUUAACUUCCAGCCAUCAUUGUGUGCUAUAAUACAGAUGGAGUGACUAUCAGCAAGCUUUACUGUGUUGGUUUAUUUUCUUUAGCAGAGAAUGUGGAUUUAAAUGGGAUAAAGCAACAAAGUCGACUUAGGGCCGGAGAGCCCAUCGGAACCUUCCAUUUCCUUUGCAAGCAGAGAUAACUGGCUACAGUCAGCCUCCCCAGGACCUGAUGCCAAAGGAUAACUGCAAGAUCAGAAAGGACUUCAACCUACGGGCAAGGAAUCCACGAAGCAGCAUCCAGCAGGGUAUUGAUACAGCCAGACUUGCAGCAAGAUGGAGAAUAAAUUGAUAGUAAGUGGCUUGCAGGAGGCCUGAGCAUAUGAUAAAACACAGUUAAAAGAGUAUAACUCUUUGAUCUAGCUUUUAUAAACUCAGGCAGAGCAUAAGAAUUCCAGACAGAUUAAGAGAAAAAAGCCCUGGGCUGAGAGAGG
rnacentral:lncRNA from 1 species